rnacentral:rRNA from 1 species
UACGGAGGAUGCGAGCGUUAUCCGGAUUUAUUGGGUUUAAAGGGUGCGUAGGCGGGUCGUUAAGUCAGUGGUCAAAUUGAGGGGCUCAACCCCUUCCCGCCAUUGAAACUGGCGAUCUUGAGUGGAAGAGAAGUAUGCGGAAUGCGUGGUGUAGCGGUGAAAUGCAUAGAUAUCACGCAGAACCCCGAUUGCGAAGGCAGCAUGCCGGCUUCCGACUGACGCUGAAGCACGAAAGCGUGGGGAUCGAACAGG